CCGAGACCAGUCCGACCGUAAAACAACUGGAAGAAGAGGCGCAAGACUUUGCAAGUGAGAACAGCAGAUUGGAAGCCACUGUCCAGCAGCCAAGCGACAGCGUUGAAGCCCUUCCGAGAGACCUGCAAGCCUCUGCCUCAGGUGGUGAACUUUCCCAGCAGCUGGACAUGGAGCCUGGAACAGGCAUGCAGCCAGAGGCCCCAAAGCAGGCUUUGAGAGAAGAGCUGUCCAGUCUGCUUGGGAAGUGUGAAAAACUGGAGAAGAGCAAAUGCCAGCUGCAAGAAGAGAUGACAAAACUCCAUCAUCGACUGGAGACUUUGGGGCUGGAUGGCAGCCAAACAGAACAAUGGAAAAGAGAGGUGGCAGAACGAGCUGACCAGGAAAUAAGUCCAAAGCUACAAGACGUCAGCCUCGUUUUGCCAGCACAGGCAGCCCACCAGGACACAUCAGGAC